CAGCAUUCAAUGGGACAUCACCAGCAGUAACUGCAGCAACAACAUUAAUUAUAAGAGCAGCAACGUUAACAGUGAGCUGAAACUGGAUGAAUUUCUGGAUGUUAGCAUAUACGGAUCUGCCCCAUCGGACAACCUUCACAACAGAAGCAAAAUUGUCAUCCAGUAUGAUGAUAUCUGAACUUUCUUUGGCGACUUCAGUUCCAGCAAUUCCCAUAGCAAGACCAAUAUCAGCCUCGUGUAAUGCAGGAGCAUCAUUAGUACCAUCUCCAGUUACAGCAACA
rnacentral:misc_RNA from 1 species